UACGUAGGGUGCAAGCGUUGUCCGGAAUUAUUGGGCGUAAAGAGCUCGUAGGCGGUUUGUCGCGUCUGCUGUGAAAACUCGGGGCUUAACUCCGGGCCUGCAGUGGGUACGGGCAGACUAGAGUGCGGUAGGGGAGACUGGAAUUCCUGGUGUAGCGGUGGAAUGCGCAGAUAUCAGGAGGAACACCGGUGGCGAAGGCGGGUCUCUGGGCCGAUACUGACGCUGAGGAGCGAAAGCGUGGGGAGCGAACAGG
rnacentral:rRNA from 1 species